rnacentral:lncRNA from 1 species
GUUCCAAUUCUGCUUUAGUUCCAACCCAAAGGCUGAGAAACAUUCCAUGGAAUUUAAUUACAGGGCGAUAACUGUGAUCUUACCAAGAUUUACGAACAGGAAGAUCCUUGGUGAUUGUAGUCAGUCAAAGGGUGGCUUUGACGUAGCACCUAUCUGUUAGGGCAAAUACAGCCAGGGAAAAGGUGACAUUUGGAAUCAUCUGGGAUUGGACUCUUGAUCAAUAGAUGCAAAAUGUCAGAUGGACAUGAGAACUGUUGGUCUUUGGUACGUAUGUGUUGCAAUGAGUAAGGAUGAGUAAUGUGAAGGAAAAAUAGAAUCUUGGGACCCCAAACUCACUAUGCCAAAGGGAAAGUUAAGCGUGGGAGACUGAGUAAGGCAAAAACUGCCUUCCUUUUGUUCCCAAAUAGAUGGCUGUAAUUUCAUAUGCUUGUGUUAUGUGAAAUGUGGAUUCAUUGAGCGCUAAUCAGAGCCCCACAAGAAUGAAAGCACUUGCCUUGCUGCCUACCCUCCCUCCUCUUUUUUCUUCCCCUCCUGCUUGCUCUUUUCCCUUUAAAUAAUGAAGUUCCCAAAACCCUCUUUGGAAAAAGCAUACGUCACAGAUCCUAUUAUAAUGUGCAUUUCUUUUUCCUGGGUACAUUCUCAACCUGGGCAAAAUAAACCUCUAAUCAAUGAA